GACUGGGAGCUGUGCAGGAGAACACAGUGUUUACUGGUUCAGACAUGGAUCAGGAGAAUCCCUUCCUGGAGUCAUUUACAGCCAUGGAAACAGCAGUGAUGAGUGUGAGAAGAGCCCUGAGGCUGGAUCUCCUACACGGAGCUGCGUCUACAGCCUCCCCAAGGGGAACCUCAGCCUCUCCGAUGCUGGGACUUACUACUGCGCUGUGGCCAUGUGUGGGGAGAUGCUGUUUGGGAACGGCACAUAGCUGGAUAUAGAUGGCUUUCAGAAGCUGCUGGAUCCUCUUCACUCUGGCUUGCUGAUAGUUUUAUCUUGCAGCAUUAUUCUGAACGUUGCUCUCAUUUGUAUAAGAUGUAAACUGACCUGUACACACUGUGCAGAUGAAAAGAACAGUGAUAUAUCAAAAGUGGAAUGGUCACGCAAGCAAUGCCAUGACGAGGACACACUGAAUUACGCUGCCCUGAACCUUAAGAAGCCAAAACCCAGGAGACAGAAGAAAGACGGGAAUAAUGACACUCUGUAUUCUGACCUCCGCUACAGAGAUUAUGAAUAAAG